rnacentral:rRNA from 1 species
GAUGAACGCUGGCGGCGUGCCUAAUACAUGCAAGUCGAGCGAACAGACGAGGAGCUUGCUCCUCUGACGUUAGCGGCGGACGGGUGAGUAACACGUGGAUAACCUACCUAUAAGACUGGGAUAACUUCGGGAAACCGGAGCUAAUACCGGAUAAUAUAUUGUACCGCAUGGUUCAAUAGUGAAAGACGGUUUUGCUCUCACUUCUAGAUGGAUCCGCGCCGAAUUAGCUGUUUGGUAAGGUAACGGCUUACCAAGGCAACGAUGCGUAGCCGACCUGAGAGGGUGAUCGGCCACACUGGAACUGAGAAACGGUCCAGACUCCUACGGGAGGCAGAAGUAGGGAAUCUUCCGCAAUGGGCGAAAGCCUGACGGAGCAACGCGGCGUGAGUGAUGAAGGUCUUCGGAUCGAAAAACUCUGUUAUUAGGGAAGACCAAUUGUGUAAGUAAAUAUGCACGUCUUGACGGUACCUAAUCAGAAAGCCACGGCUAACUACGUG